GUGGCCGCGCGCGCCGCCCGCGCGUUUUUCGCGCGCCUCUGCCCACCAGCGAGGCCGCAACACGCCCUGACACCCGACCUCAGUGCGGACCCUCACUUGCUGUGGGUGUUGGGGCCUCUCUAGAGCAGAGAGGAAAAGUUAUCCUCACUAUUCUCAGACUCUGGAAUCUCUUAGAUCAAACAAAUGAUAGAAGUCUGUUGAAGCUUUGUCCUGACCUAUCCUGGAAGUAGAAGAAUACUCUGGAGAAGGGAGCAUUGUAAGCACAAAGAAUAAGAUUCCUCAAUCCUGAGAGAGAGAAUUAAAAUCUAACUCUCCAAAUUUUCAACAGGAGUUUUGAGUAAAGAAAAUGGAGAAGCUUGUGGGAGAGAAAGGUCUACUCUAAUGUGAUGCUGGGAUUGAAUUUUCCUAGGACUCCGUUUCAAGGUUGAUUCGAAAGUCUUGUGGAAGAUCUGGAAGAAACAGGAGGAUCAAAACACUGGACAAUGGGGAAGUUAGAUGUCUCUGAUUGUUUUUGCUUCUGAACCAUAUACCAGACUAUCCAGAAUGUAAGUUUGUACGACUAAUAGUAUUGGAAAUUCCAUAUAGUCUUCCAUUUUUCUUCCCCAUGUUAGUCUCUGGUAUCCUUUCUUUCAAAUAAGAUUAAACCUUUUUUCUCUAAAAAAUGUACAAAAUAUAAGCAAAAAUGACAUAUUUUAUCCUGGAUCACAUGGUAAAUUUUAGAACAUAGUAGGAGAUAUGAAGUUAAAAUACAAAUAAUCAUGACUGAUAAAUUUUUUAAAUCCUUGGAUUUUGGAAAAUCUAAUUUUCUCCGAAUAUAUAUCUGUAAACAUUAAAUUUAUCUGUUAUAUAUUUAAGAGUUAUAGGAUUUUGUAUAUUCCAUCAUUUCAGAAAGAUUUUAGUCAAUUUAUAGCCAUGAUAAGAAACAAUGGAUCUAAUCAAAGUUAGGGGAAAUAUAUGGAGGAAAAUAAUAAAGCUAGGGUAGGAAUAGAUCACAGAAAUAUUUUCUGCAUAGACCUGUUCAAUUGCUGAGAUGGACUUCCAUCUAUCUUUGAUCUACUUAGCAGCUAAAUUAAAGGAGGCAACAUAUUCAGUUAUAAGAUGAAUGCUAUGUAUAAAAAAAUUUAAGCAGCUGCUAGAUGGAAUCAUAGUUUUUCCAGAGGCUUAGACCUACAAUAAUUUUGUCUAGUUCUUAUGAAGACACACUGUGUAAUAUAGUGUAUAAGCAGUAACCCUAUAAUAGAUACAACAAAGCUAUUUCUUAUGAUAAUAGUGUGUGCCAAGUGGGUAACUCCAGUGUGAAGUUCAGUAAAAUCAAUCAUAAGAGGUGCUAACACAUUGCAUUUGUCGUUAGAAUUAGUUCAUUCCUGGUCUGAUCAGAUUGAGAUGUAAAAUGCAGACUAUCUGGCCUGAGUAACAGAUGCUCUGUAUGUCAUUUAGGCAAUCCUCCAUAAAUAUUAUUUCUUUCAACUAGAAUUUUGAUAAGGAUUAGAUAGCAAAGAGUACAAAGUUUGUACUCUUCAGCAAGAACAUAAGGUUCAGAAAUCUUACCUGGCUUAGCUGGAUUAUCUAAGGAGAAUAUAAAGUUGAAGUGUCUAUAAAUUAAGGAGCCUAAACCUUGUCUGAAUAAAUGGCCCCCAAUUUCACCUACUCAUGGUAAUGGGUGUAGAAAAAGUGAAUGGAAAGAGCGAAAAUCAUUUGCAAAAACAUUUCAGAAUUCAUUCCAAAGUAGAUGAUUAGGAAUGUAAAGCCCUGAAGUUUAUCUGUAGGAUAUGAUCUGUGGCUCCUAAUAGUAUGCCUGGUACUUGUUUGGGGACACAGGAACUCCGCUUUCAUUGCAAUGGGGUAAACCAAACAUUUAUUCUCUAAUAUCUUUUGGUAAAUAAUAAAUCCAAAGUAAAAAUUAGUAUAUUGAAAUGUAUUAUUCUGUACAGUAUUUACCAGAUAUAGAUAGACUAUACAUUUUUCUCUGAGCGUGGCUGUGAUAAUAAUUUCACUCAAGAAAAUAUUCAAAGUAAUAGGUUUUAAUUACCUACCAUAGCCACAGGUGAAAAUUGAGGAAAUAUUCAAAUAAAGUUUACUUUUAAGAAAUUUAACUUCCUACUGAAUAGAAUGCAUAUCUUUAAUGAAUAAAAAUAUUUUAGAGAUAAUAUAGUCAACAGUUUUUAUUAACCUGUAUUGGACAUCCUUCAAAUGACCUACAUUUAUUUUCUUUCUCAAGGACUUUACAUGAGAUAGAUUAUUCUCUCCUGCACCUCACACCUGCUUUGUUAAUGACGUUUCAUCCUUUGGCUCAGAGCACAGAAAUUCACUUCCUCUAGGAAGUCUUCUGAAUUGCAGACCUGAUUAAGUCCACCUGAUAUUUGAUCUCGUUGCAUCUUGUACUUUCCCUUCGCAUCAGUGAUCACAGUUUGCAAUUAUAUAUUUGUGUGAUUACUGAUUUUUGUGUUCAUACACUGAGGAACUGACUGUGUACUUUCUUCUCCUUCUGUUAGCCAGGUACUUAGCAGUAGGUGGAACACAUUUAUUCAGAUCUUUGUUGAAUGAAUACAUGAAUGAAUGAAUGAAUGAAUGAACGGACGAACAAAUGGAGUAGCAUUAAAAUUCUUACUUAGUCUAUCAAACUGGGAUUUAAUUUAUUAAAUUUAGUCAUCAUUUAAUAAAUGUUUUGCCUCUUGAAGUUAUUACACCAGAAAAGCUCUAUUAAAUAUUUCCUGAUACUAUGUAGGUCAUACUACAUUUUUCCACAGUUAUUUUACUUUGUGUUUUCUUUUUUUU